rnacentral:rRNA from 1 species
AAUCUGCCUUGGAGUGGGGAAGUAACGGCUGGAAACAGCCGCUAAUACCGCAUGAUACAGCUGGGAGGCAUCUCCCUGGCUGUCAAAGAUUUAUCGCUCUGAGAUGAGCUCGCGUCUGAUUAGCUAGUUGGCGGGGUAACGGCCCACCAAGGCGACGAUCAGUAGCCGGACUGAGAGGUUGGCCGGCCACAUUGGGACUGAGACACGGCCCAGACUCCUACGGAAGGCAGCAG